UACGUAGGUGGCAAGCGUUGUCCGGAAUUAUUGGGCGUAAAGCGCGCGCAGGUGGUUUCUUAAGCCUGAUGUGAAAGCCCACGGCUCAACCGUGGAGGGUCAUUGGAAACUGGGGAACUUGAGUGCAGGAGAGAAGAGUGGAAUUCCACGUGUAGCGGUGAAAUGCGUAGAGAUGUGGAGGAACACCAGUGGCGAAGGCGACUCUGUGGCCUGUAACUGACACUGAGGCGCGAAAGCGUGGGGAGCAAACAGG
rnacentral:rRNA from 1 species